GGGGUUGUAGCUCAGUGGUAGAGUGCUUGCCUAGCACACAUGAGGCACUGGGUUCAAUCCUCAGCACCA
rnacentral:tRNA from 1 species